rnacentral:lncRNA from 1 species
CUUAGCUCGUUCAGACAAUCCUCGGCCAAAUCCUCCACGAGUACUCCAUCUCCUUCUUCAUCUUCUGAUAUGAAUUCCUCUGCAAUCCAUAAAUGCUUCAAACGUUCGACGUCAAUAAUUUGGUCUUCUUGGAAUCUUGCAAGGUAGAGAAAACAAUCUCUCAUUUGGGGAGACAAGUCUUUAUAACUCAAGCUGAGUAUUUCUACAAUAUCCACAGAGUCAUCCGUCAAGUUUCUCCAGAUAUGCUUCUUCACCUUUGCCCAAUAGUCAUAGCUAUUGUUGUGCAAUAAAAGGCCGCCCAGUAUCACAAUUGCAAGUGGUAAACCUCGACAUUUACCAACCAUCUCCUUUCCUAAGUUCUCCAACUGGUCGGUUGGUUGUGCUGUCUUGCAGAACAAUUCCCAGCUUUCCUCUUCCCUCAAGAAACGAAGUUGAUAGGCUAAACCUUUGUUAUCUACAGUCUCUGCUACUUUCUUGUUUCUCGUGGUAAUGAUAAUCCUACUACCGUUGUCCUGGUUUGGAAAUGCAGUUUUGAUCUGGCUCCAAGCGUUUAUAUCCCAUAUAUCAUCAAUAAGUACCAAAUAGCAACCUUGAUUCUGGAGUAACUUUGACAGGUACUGCAGCAAGUCAUGCUCAUCCAUGUUUGACAUAUAUUGUUCGUGCUCAGGUCCCUUGAAAGACUUUACUAUCCUCUUAAGGACAUCUUUGAUGGUAUAUUCUCCGGAGACACAAACUUUAGCACGGGUGCCAAAAUCUCUCAACUCGUUAGAGUUGUACAACUUGGUGGCAAGUGAAGUCUUGCCCAAUCCCCCCAUUCCAUGAAUGGAAAUGAUUUUAAGGGCCGGAUCCUCGCUAUUAAGUUCUUUCAUCAACUUUUGAAUAUCGUCCUUGAAACCAACCACAUCCACCUGUUUAUCAAUGGCACUUGUUCUUAUUAAGGUUCUCUCUUUCUGUUUUACAUCUGGACCGGCUAAAAUAUUGUCUAUUCCAUACUCGAGUCGCCUCUCCUUGAUCACACCGAUCUUUUUCUUGAGUGACUCGAUAUUGUUGCCAAUGUCAUAAAGCUGAGCUUCUUUCUUGCAGAUGCAAAUACAGUUGAGAAAUCUAUCCAUAUGACCUUGUUCCAGACUCGCUUGUCCAUCCUGAAAUCUCUUCAGUAUAUCCACGGCUUCAUUGGCAACAUCUCUGACAGUGCUUAUCCAUAGACGGAUUUCAUCUUCUUGCCUUGAUUCUGCACGAUUUACGGAAGCCUGGAGGAAGCCUAACUCUUCUUUGAGCCAGCCUAUAUCAUCUCUAACUCCUAUUCGUAUGUUAACCUGGUGCACAAGAAAAUUACCAAGGUUUUCAAUUGCAAAAGAUAGCACAGCAUCUGCCAUACUUCUCUAAGAAGUCAAAAAGAAAGGAUGGCUGGGAAAUAUUGGCAAAAGAGUUUGGUAGAAGGUCACUGAGGGAGUAAGACUACUUCAAAGUGGAACAUAUUAUUUAUUAUAAUUUAAGUUUAUAUUAAAAUAUUGAUUUGAGCUUGGACGUUCGAUUAGUGUGAACGAAACAUGGAGAUGCACAAUGAGACGAAUAAGUUUUUUAUGAUGCACAUGAGACAAAUAAGUUUUUUUUAAUAGCCAUGCGGAAUCAUAUGAUUCACUAAAUUGUCCUCUGUGCAUUUUAUAAAGAGUUUGGCCUUGAAAUUUGAUGCAACUUUUUCUUAUUUUCUUCUCCCAUGUGGCUGUGUUUGUUUUAUAGCAACUGCAAGUUGAGCUGAGUUAAAUAAAUUUAUACUAAAAUAUAAUUCAGGCCGCUCCUAUGUCUCCCUGGGAACUGUGUAGAUCUACCAAGCCCGCCCCAUAAAGCGAUAAAGAAUGUACUAUUCGAUGUUAUUUGGGGCGGUUCGACCUGGUUUAAAAGAAGUUAGUUACUGCUUAUAGGUAAGAAGUCACGUAUAAUUGAACAAUAAAUUUUCAUUCUUCUGUUUGGAUAAUUUUUUGAUAAUUUAUAACUAAUAGGUAUAGAAAUUAGUAUUAUAAUAAUAAAACUAGCGUAGAAGCAUGUGCAAGGUACGCCUACUGUUGUGUAAUAUGUGUUUGAAUAAAUGGUUAUAGACUAAUGUGUGUUUGAAUAAAAGUUUGCAGGCUGCAACAGGCCUGCCUUCAGAAAAUCCAAGGUGCUGUGCAAUACUCCCUCCGUCCCAUAUUGAGUGAGCUGUUUUGACUUUCACGGAGAUUAAGAAAAAGGUAGUAAGUUUAGUUGAAAAGUGAGUAAAGUUGUGGGACCUAUCAAUAUUUAAUAAUAGAUUUGAGAUAGUGGAGGAAGAUAGUGGGUGUAAUAGUGUUUAUAUUAUUAUAGAAUGGAGAUAGUGGAAGAAAGUAGUGGGUGUAAUAGUGAAAAGUAGUGUUCAAAAAUAGUAAGUAUGAUAGGUUCAUUCUUUUUGGGACGUCCCAAAAAGGAAUAAGGGUCACAUAAAAUGGGACAGAGGGAGUACAAAGCAGAAGCAAAUCUUGAUACUCUUGCCUUUAGAAACAAUGAAGAGGGUUGUAGAACAAAACCAGAAUUUCAAGUUUGUGAGUUAACAGUUAAUUUUUAAUUUUUCCUUUUCCGUGACGAAUUAAUUUGUUAGUUAACUGAGGUUAUUUACUUGAAUAUAUCUUCACUGAACCUGUUGUUACAUUACUUGUGUAUAUAUGCAGAAUUUCUGAUGAUGGGUGACGAUGAUCAUCACAAUGAUUAGCUAAAUUAAUUAAUCAAAUACACAACGCUUAUGAAACCACUGCAGAAUAAUUUUUUUUAUUUUGUGAUGCAUUUAUCUGACUAUAUAUAGGCAAAAUUUUGUGGCACUUGGUAAUAAGGAAAUACUAAAUUAUUACUAUGAUAUAACUAAACACUUUAGGUAUUGUUGAAUUAGACGGCUAAUUUUGAUUAGAGAUAGUCGAAUAUAUAUAUAUUUUUUCAGUCAGAAACGGUCAAAAUACAACUUCGAUAGUCUUAGGGGGUGUUUGAUAACUCUUAAUAGCCUCUUAAUAGCCAUUUUACUUAUUCGGUCAGAGAUUUAAUUUUUUUAACAGAUUAUCAAACGUGCUUAAUGAAACCAAAACACACUUAUUGGAUAAGAGCGUGGACUCUCGCUUAGUGGGUAAGAGAGCCUCUGAAUAGGGUUUUCCAAUGUAUACCCUCAAACUCAACCCUUUAUUUUCACCCAUCCUGCGUUUAUGCUAGCUGCUUUAACAGUGUGUUAUCAGAUACCCGUCACUUUUCUUCACUUUUCUUUAAAAAAAUAAAGAAUUGAUUAAUCUUGAUAUGGGCUAUAAAUAUAUAAAAUUAUAAAAAUUUUGGAUGAUUUUUAUAAUUUUGGAUUAAUUUUUUUAUGAUUUGGAUAAAAAUUUUGGAUGAUUUAUGAUGUGUUUUAGAUAAAAAUUUAAAAAUAUAAUUUUGAAAUUAUAGUUAUGGAUAAAAUUCCAAAAUUAUAAAAAUUAUAAAAAAUUUAACAUCAUAAAUCAUCCAAAAUUAUAAAAAUUUAUCCAAAAUUAUAAUUUUUUAAUAAUUUCGGAUGAUUUACAUUUUUGUAAUUUUUAUAAUUUUGGAUAAGAUUAUACUUUUUUUAUAAUUUUGAAUAAAAUUAUAUUUGUUAUAAUUUUGGAUGAUUUAUGAUGUAUGUUGGAAUUAUAAGGGUAAAAUGAUAAAUAUAUUGGCAUUCAGAUAUUUUAAUAUGAUUGUUAUCAAACAAUAAAUUUCUUUCAGUAAAUUUUUCAUUCAGGCAAAUUCUUCAUUCAGUGUAUUCAGCAAAUUUAAUGACUCAGCAUUUUUUAUUCAGUUUUAUCAAACAACCUCUUAGUCGAAAGUGUAGCGAUUGGGAUGAUCAAAAAGAGUAACUAUCCUUAUUCAAAAAAAAAAGAAAAAAGAGUAACUAUCCGGUUGAACUUUUAUAUUCGAGCAAAUUUGGUCAAAAAUAAUGUUUUCACGCUAAACUUUUUUUCAGAAACAAAAGGCAAAAUUCCCGUCUUCAAUUUAUUUUCGACCGUGAGUAUUUUCGACUGGGACUAGGCUGGAAAACCUUCGCUCAAAUUUUGGAGGGACAGAAGUGAAUGGCUUAUAAGCGGUUAAAAAUAGUCCACAAUUUUGACGGAUUUUUUCAACAGGUCUCUAAUUUGACUAAGUCUCGUCGUCACUUUUAACUUCGAACUAUUACCGUCGAAAAUAUAUGCGAUCAAAAUUAGCCGCUUUUCUUAUAUCACAUAAUAACGUGUUGAAGGGUAAUUGAAAUUUGAUAUGGUGAAACACAAACCGGAAUCACUAUUAUUGUUGUUAAAAAUCUUUGAUUUUCGGCUCUCCAUUGUAUCUUCUUUGUCUCUUCAGCUUACUCAUUUUUCGAGUUUGGUCACAUAUUCUGCUGCAUGCAAUGUUGUAUACAAUUCAGAAACUUGCGUUAAUAAUCAAAACAUUUGUCAGACUAGAUCCCAUCAAUAUUGAUCUCUUGUUUUAUCAUCAGAAUAUUUUGAUAUGGUUGUAUUUUGGGGUUGUAUACUUGUAUUCCCUCUACCGAACAGAUUGAUUCUGAAUUUUGUUUUGUUGAACUUUUGAAACAAAACUUUUGAACCGAAGUACUAAACAAUUUGACAGUUCAAGAAAGUUGAAUAUCAAAUUUUAUGAUUCACCUAGCGUUUUUGCUUGUGUUUUUUUUAAUAAUAAUCGUAUGAUUUUUUUGAAGUCAAGUUGUGUGUCAUGUGUUUUAAAGCAAGACUAAUAAAGUCCCAAGAUCCAAAAUCAUUAUAAUCAUGUUCCCGUUCAUUCUUUUUUUUUUCCUGACAGGUGAUUAUAAUCUGUAAGAUUAUAAAAAGAUUAUAUUUUAGAAAUAAUCAAUUUAUUUUACUUAAUUCAAUAAAAGAAAGAUUUUGGUAAGAGAGCAUUGAGGGAGUAAUUCAAAUGCAGAGUUGAAAGUGGAAUUUAUCAUUCAAAUUUAUUAUAAUUUCAAUUUUAAUGAAAAAUUAACGAAAAUUAAAGUACUCUGUGAUGUGCUACACUCGCUGAUUUGCUGGAUUCCACCGCAUACCCUGCGUGUCUGGGAUGCAUCAUGCAUAUUGCGUUAUUGUUAAGUUUGUCUUUUGUUUAUUAAAUAAUAAAAUUAAACAUAACUCUAUGAUAACAUUUUCUUUCAUAUGGGGUCAUCAGGGAGUUUUUUAAGAUACGCAUGAAGAAAAAACACAAAAAUACAAACGACCUAAUUAUUCUUAUUAAACCUACCUAGGACACAUGUGGGGUACUAAAUAUAGAGAUAUAGACACAUAUCAUAUCACCAUUAUACUGCAUACUACCACUAUAUUUUAAUAAUAUUAAAAAGAAUAACAUAGUGUUAAUAAUCAAAUCCGAACCUAAUGUUAGUGACAAAAAAAAUCAGAACCUAACAUUAGUGAAAAAAAAAAUUAAUAGUUCAGUGGUAGGUUUCUAAAUAAAUAAUAAGUUUGAUGGUAAAAAAAUUUAUUUUUCCCUAAAAAUUAAUGUAUAUUUUUCAUUUCGAUUCUACUUUUUAAUUUUAUACUAAUUUUUUAAUAGUCACUAAAAAUCUUAAUGACUCAUGAAAUCAUGAUCAAUUUAUUAAAUUUUCAUGUGUACAUUCUGUAAAGAAGUUGGCCCUGCUUAUUUUCUUCUUCCCAUAUGAUUGCAUGUGUUUUUAUAACAAUCCUUAGUUGAGGUAGUUAACUUAAAUUGACAUGUUACAUUUUAUAAAGAAUUUGGUUUCAAAAAAAGAAUUCUAUAAUAGUCGCAAGUUGAGGCAAUUAACUUACAUUGACCUGUUACAUUUUUUAAAGAAUUUGGUAUUAGAAAAUUGAUGCAACCUUUUCAACUCAUAAGCUAAAAUUAUGCACAAUAAUGUAUGUGCAUACAUGUAAUGAAACAUAAAUUUAUAUGGACACAAGCAUGCACACGUAAUCGAGUUUUUAAAAGUAGUUUAAAUUGUUGAUGAGGGCACUGCAUUCGUUAUGUGAAGAGGAACAAAAAGAGAAAUUAGGCUUCAGACUCUUUGACUUGCCGGGAAACAACUAAUAUCUCAAUUACUCUGCCUGUUCUUGAAAAUAACUAUCGACGAACUUAACCAAUAUGUGUAACGAAAAUAAACAACUCAAGCACGCUCCCCACGGAUCCUCCUGGCCAGCUGAAUGUCUUUAGACAUGUUUGUCACACACUUAGAAUGAAUAGCGCACAAGUUAGGCUGUGUUCACUUGGAUGGAAUGGAAUGUGGAGAGAAUGGAAUGAAAUUUGCAUUAUAAAUUGGGAGUGAUUAGUGAAAUUGUUUAUUAUUUUUAUUCUUUCAAUCAUUCCAUUUUAACUAUUUCAACUAAAAAUCUAACCCACAUGUUUUGAAAGGAAUGUUGAUUCUAUUUCAUCAUUUUUUCUUAGCAUCUUCUUCAUGAAAUUUUUUAACUCACUCAUAUUUAAUCAUUAUUACUUUAUACUUUCUCCGAUCUUCAUAAAACUUGUCCAUGUAGUUUCAUUCCAUUCUGCCCUCAUUCUAUUCCAUGAGAUGAACACAACCUUAAUAUCUUCCAACAGGUUUAUUAGGUAUACCUCAGCUGCCUCCCGGAGAGUUAGGACCGCAUGGCUCUGAAAAUGCAAAUCAGUCUGCAACAACAAAUUAAAAUUGCAUGUUGCAAUAAAAUUCAAUACGAUAAGUGAAGAUACAAUAUUUAGGGUUGUUUGUUCCAAAGAAGCAGAAGCUGCUUCUGACUUCGGCUUCUUUUGCCCGUUUGCCUAAAUAAGUAUAAACACUUUUAAGAAGCUGAGAAUGCUAGCUUCUGAGUUCUCUCAGAGAGUAUCUGCUUCUUUUUCAAACACUUCAUUAACUUAUUUACUUCUCUCUUCUUAUCCACUUCUUUACUUUAAAUAAAAAAUCACCUUUUUUUAAACUGACCUAAACCCCCCCUUAGUUCUUCAUUAUCUUCUUCUUCCGAGCAUGUGCGGCCCAGCUGAUCAUCUUCUUUGAAAUAUGGGCAUCACUUACCCCUGGAUCAGACAUGGUAUAAAGCACAGCCAAUAUCAAGGGCUUGUUGGCAAGGGUAUGUUUUUGUCAGAAUAUAUGUAAGGUAUUUAAUUCUGAAAUAUAUGUAAAAAUAUUACUAGGCAUUUGCAGAAAUUAUUGGCAUUAUUUUUCACGAUCUUAUAAUAUUACAUAGCUAGCAUUCUUCAGAGCAUGUGCCACACCCAGCGGAGAGCAUGACCGGUUCGUCUCGAUUUCCGAAUAAUCGUAACCGCAAUUAUAUAUUAUUUUUAAAAUUGAUAACCAUAACUGCCGGUUCGUAUUUUGGUUUUGGUUUAAAAAACCUGACACGGUUAUAACUGCUUGUGUUAAACUUGAACAGUAUAUUGUAAUCCCAGAUAAAUUUACAUUGGCCCGGUUUAUAAAAUAUACUAAUACAUUUACUUAUUUGAAAUUGUUUAGAUUUAAUAAAGUUUUACUGACAUUCAAUGAGCAGGGCAAGCAGCAUGAAGCACCUGCGAAAUUAUCCACCUUAUUAUUUGCAAUUGCUUUUCAAGGACCUCUCUGUAAUCGUCUUAUCAAGCAGGUAUAUGAGUGUAUCUAAUUAUGUAUACGUAAACAUUUGACUAAUUAGAAAAUAUUUCAAAUGCAAAGACUUCUAUAAUUAAAUAAGCGCAUUCCUAUUUUCAGCAGAAUAAUAUGAUCUCUGGCCGUUCAUUUCAAAGUGACGAUUAUCAAAGGUUCCUGUUUAAAGCAGUUGAACGAACUUUGUAGCUUGUUGGGUGAUGCGGAGAAGGUGUUCGAUAAAUUGCCUGUAUGAAGAUUUUUCCAAUUGGUGAGUUUACGUGACAAUAUUUGGUUUUCUUGGAUCGCUACUAAGAACUUUUUAUGCUUGUAACCAUUGGGUCUUUUAAAGUGCUUGGCAUGUCUUAACUUUAUUGUGUUUUUGGAGAUUUUGAUCUCGUGCUAGUUAAGACUAGUUUUAUAUGGAAAUCGAUCUUGGAACCUAGAAAUUGAACCGAGUUUGGGCUACCUUAAAAUUAAGUGAUUGAUUUAGGAAUUUGGGUCUGGGGCUUAGUUAUGGAACCUAAUAUAUUGAGAUCAUCGAGAUCAUUACAAAGAUUAGCUAAAUUAAUUAAUCAAAUACACGCCGCUUAUGAAACCACUGCAGGAUAAAAAAAUCUAUACUUGUGAAUUGUGAUGCAUUUAUUUGACUAUGUAUAUCAGAUAUUUUGGUCCGUGUGCUGAUUUUAGAAAAACAGAUAUUUAAAAAUGAAGGGAGUAUUAUCCAACACUUUCAACUUUUAAUUAAACCAGGUCGAUAUGAUAUAUUUAAAACUGUAAAUAUGAGAUAAUCAUGAAAUGUUUCGUCUUUAUAGAAAUAAGAACAAACAAACAAUGCUAGAAUUACUGAUACCGAACGAUUCUUAGCCGGGACUGAUAUCUUAUUUAUCCUGUUUAUUCUCUGACAUAAAUAUCUACCAACUUAAACAAUAGGCAGAACGAAAAUAAAUAAACUUUUAAUAUAAUGUUGAAGAUAAGUAAAGAUACAAGGUACAAUCGAUUCUCAGGCACCCGAUAAAUAUUAGGUUAUUUUCUGGCUGUUAAAUAUCUAACGGUCAUGAUUAUACUAACAUUUUUUAAUAUGUCAUGUUCAAUGGCUAAAAAACACUGAUUAUAUUAAAAUUUUAUUAUAAUCCUGGGUGCGAAUAUUUAUCUUACGGUCAAAAAUCAUGUUUUUUUGACAGGUUCGUGGCAGUCUAACUGCCAGGAAAAAACUUGAAAUUUUUGCGCAGGUAUAUGAGUGUAUCUGAUUAUGUAUAUGUAAAACAUUUGACGUAAUCAGAAGAUAAAUGAAAUGCAAAGGCUUCUAUAAUCAAAUAAUCGCAUUCCUAUUUUCAGCAGAAUAUGGUAACUGGCCAUUCAUUUGAAAGUGACGAUUACCAAAUGUUCUUGUUUAAACCAGUUCCAAGAAAUUUGCAGCUUGCUGGGUUGUGUUUGUUUUAUAGCUACUGCAAGUUGAGCUGAGUUAAAUAAUAGAUAGUGUACGAGGUUAUUGAAAUUCACAGUAUUAAUCUUGACCCAGUCCUAUCUAUUCUUAAUAAAGAAUGGAGGUUUGUUUGGUGGCUAUCAAUAUUCAAACCCCAGCUAAUUUUAAUAAAUAUAUAUAACUCAGACAGCUCGAAUAUCUCCCUGGGAACGGUGUAGAACUGUAGAUCUACCCAGCCCGUCCCAUAAAACUAUAAAGAUUGUACUAUUCAAUGUUAUUUGGGGCUGUUCGACUUGGUUUAAAAGAAGUUACUUGUCACUUACAAUUAAGAAGUAAAAUGUUAAUUAUAAGUGAAAGAUAAAUUUUAAUUUAUUUGUUUGGAUAAUUUUUUAUGAUAAUUUAUAACCAAUAGGUAUUAAAAAUUAGUAUUCUAAUAAUAAAACUAGCUUUAAAGGUUGUAGACUAAUGUGUGUGUGAAUUAAAGGUCAUGCAGAUUGCUGUGUAGUUUUCUUCUCUCAAAGAACUUAUGAAUCACAAAUUUGUCAUUGUAGGAUGAUUGAAUCUUAAUUUUGAAGAUCUACUUCAAAUGAUCUCCACUGCAUCAGGCAUUUGUAUAUGAUGCAAUAUAAAACCAAGGUGCUGUGCAAUACAAUGCAGUAUUUCAAAUGUGAACUCAACAAUAUAUCUUCUUAGUGGUUAACAAUACUACAUGUAAAGAUAAUGAUAGUGAAAUCAAGAUUCAGAUGAUAUGGAUAUAAUAUCAUUUUAGACAUAAGAAAGUUUGAUAAUCACAACACUGCAUCAAAUUUUAAAUUGUCAGAGUAUUGAAAUCAAUCAUGCAGUUCUACAAUUCAUUUUAUGCUAUUGAGUAUUGUGUUCCCAACGGAUGACAGUAUAAAAUUUCAGAGCCGGAAAGAAUUUAUCCCUCCUCUGUUAAUAGACCAAAAUUAAGCAAGAUACAAGAAAGCACAUCCAUAAAAGGGUUUGUUUAUCAUCAAAGAGUUUAUUUUUUCCGGUGUGUGUUCAUGGGCACAUGCUAAGCACUAAAUUUUAUGUAGGACCUGGGUCAACAGAGCAUAAACCCUUAACCACUGGGCUAUCCAAUCGUGCUCAUGUAUUUAACUAAUUUUGAUUGGCUCCUACUUUGUAAUAAUGGUUGACCGUUGACCCUUCUGCAUAUACAAAAACUUCACCAAUCAAUUUGAGCUAAAUGCAAAGAUUUUAGUGCUUAGUAUGUGCCCAUGAGCACAAACUAGACAAAAGCGAAAAAUAUAACAAUUCGAGAGGGGAUACAAUAAAUAUUAAAAAUAUCACAUAGUCAUAUAAUCAAAAUACAGUUACAUUAAAUCAACUAGCAGUUCGAGUAACAUUAUUGCUUUCUUAUAUUAAAUCACAUUAAUCUACUAACUGCAAUUAUUUAUAGUUUAUACACUGGUCUAAUAGAAAUCAGGGUCUCUGGCUCAAUUUCAAAUCUAAAAAAAUUGUCCAAACAUUGUAUUUAGGCUUCAGAAAGCGCAGGCAUCCGAUUUCUGCAAAGCUUAGUUGGUUUAGUAUUAUGCUGCCACUGUUCAUAACUUCCAUGACUCUUUUUUGCCCUAACAAACUCUCGUGAGAAGGUGGAUGCUCAUGGUAAAGUUUUCAAGUGUAAGGUAUUUUUCUGUCAGAAUAUAUUUCAGAUAUUUUAAAUAAGCUAGUAUCAGUAAAGUCAUCUAAGGAUCGCAGAAAAUAAAACGCAGCUGAAUCCGCAAGGCGGAAAGUUUCACAUUUACAUCAAUAUUAUUGCAUAAGACUAACUGAUUAUAAUCAGCUAUUUAAAAUUAAUCUGAAGAUGGUUCGUUUCAAGCCUCCCAUAAUUCAUAAUAUCACCCAAAAAAAAACUCAAAGUAUUAUGAACUCUUUAGGCCUGACGGAGGCAUGGUGGGUGAAAGGAGCCCAAAUCACAAUUUUUAUGUCAUUUGUAAGUUUAUGCAGCGUGCAUAAAGAUAUAUAAAGAUUAGACGUAAAUUAGUAAUUUGUCUCGUGUUAUGAACAGUGCCGACAUUUCAAACGAGAAACGUUUUUAGAGACGGAGGGAGUAUAACUUAAGUUUGUAUUAAAAUAUUGAUUUGAGCUUGGACGUCCAAUUAGUGUGAACGAAACAUGGAGAUGCACAAUGAGACAAAUAAGUUUCUUAAGGUCACAUGAGAAGAAUAAGUUUUUUAAUAGUCAUUAGAAAUCAUGAUUCACUAAAUUGUCUUGUGUACUUUUUAUAAAGACUUUGGCCUUGAAAACUGAUGCAACUUUUUCUACUUAUUUUCUUCUUCCCAUGUGGUUGUGUUUGUUUUACAGCAACUGCAAGUUGAGCUGAGUUAAGAAAAAAUUUACUAAAAUAUAAUUCAGGCAGCUCCCAAUUCCCAUGUCUCCCUGGAACUGUGUAGAUCUACCGAGCCCGCCCCAUAAAGCGAUAAAGAAUGUACUUUUUGAGUUUAUUUUGGGCGGUUCGACUUGGUUUAAAAGAAGUUAGUUACUACUUAUAGGUAAGAAGUCACUUAUACUUGAAAAAUAAAUUUCUAUUUUUCUGUGUGGAUAAUUUUUUGAUAAUUCUUUACUAAUAGGUAUAGAGAUUAGUAUUAUAAUAAUAAAACUAGCGUAGAAGCAUGUGCAAGGCACGGCUACUGUUGUGUAGACUAAUAUGUGUUUGAAUAAAAGGUUGCAGGCUGCAACAGGCCUUGCCUUCAGAAAAUCCAAGGUGCUGUGCAACGCAACUCAGAAGCAAAUCCUGAUGCUCUUGCCUUUAGAAACAAUGAAGAGGGUUGUAGAACAAAACCAGAAAUUUCAAGUUUGUGCCCUUUCAUGGGUUGUUGAAGCUGAAAUGUCACUCCAUUGAAGUGACCGAGUACUCAUGCUUAUUAUUGAGCCCUGUAAGCUAGAGUCCUCUAGUGGCAAGCAAAACCAGGAUAUGUGUCUAUCACAAUCCUCUAAUGGUUGGCAAGCAGAACCAGGACUUUAGAGAAGUUGAAACAGUCUUCUAAUGACAAACAUAACAGUCUCUUCCAAUCUAUUUCUUCAAAUUCUUCUCCAUCUCUUAUCUUUCCUUCUCGCUUCUUCUUCUACCUUUACAACAGAUCAUCUUCCUUUUUACUAGCGUCUAAUCAUCAAUCCAUUAUCUUCAAGCUAAGAGUUCACAAAGUUCCCACUCUUUAGCUUGAGGGGGAGUGUUAAGGGAUAAGAUAAAAGGCUUUUAUGGUCUUUCUAUCCAGAACAUUUGUUUUUACUAGAAUUUAGUAUUGUUUGUAACCUUCUAUAUAUACUGGAGAUGUAAUAACUAUACGAAGACAAGUAAAAAGAAAUGUAGUCAAUUAAUUUCUCUUCUUUCUUGUUCGUGUGUUGCUCUGUAAGUUUGCAACUAUGGUUCUCACCAUCACUGACUUAUAAAAUCAUCAGAAGAUUCUGUUGUUCCUUGAAGAGAACUAACCCAAGCUGCAACAAAAAUAAUAGCUUACAAUUCUAUAGAUUCACCUUAUAGAGUUAUACAAUGGUCAUUUAUUACAAAAUCAUUUCAAUUCAUCUAACCCUUAGACCUUGUAACGAAGCUAAACAAUCUGUUAAACCUAAGAUCAAAUCUUAAAGAAAAUCUUCUAUAGUGGACAAACAUCUGCUAUACAUUCCAAGAUUAUUAAUAAAUAUAUCUUGAAUCAUCUUAAGUAACAAGCUUCGAAGGCCUACAACACUCUUCAUAAAGUCACAAACCAUGUUUCCUUUGGCCUUUUAACAUGGCAGUUAAAAAGAAUUUGUCAGGUUCAGAAUAUAUUAUAUUAAUCCUGUUAGGCAGUCUACUUCUUUAAGGAUUUAAGUUCAAAUCUUAACAUUUAUGCGGUCAAUCUUAUGCAGAAGCAAACCUACAUAGCAUUUAAGACAUCUGCAAAAAUAAUAAUAGGCAUCUGCAGAAUUUACUGGCAUUAGAUUCAGCGAUCUUGCAAUAUUACAUAACUAGCACAAAAGAACUUUUGUGGCAUUUUCAUUUCGUUCCUUUAAUAGUGGCUGUUUGAUGUGGAGGAAAGAUCACAUACAAUGUUAAAGCCAGUUUCAGUAAAGUGAUCUAAGGAUCGCAGCAAGAUUAUAACGCGACUGAAUCCGCAAGGCUGAAAGUUCCAGGUUCACAUCAAUAUUUUUGCAGAGAAAAUACAAACAAUUAAUUAACAUUAGGAAUUAAUUAUUUAUUAAAAAUAAUGGAAAUAUCGUAUAUAUACAAUCAAACAUUCACAAUAGAAAAAAAAAGUUAUCAUUUUGAAUAAUAAAUUUAAAUAAAAUACUGAAACGUCUAAAGUUUCAAUACUAAAAUUAUGUGAUUGUUUAAGGUAAUUGCUCCAUAAAGAAGCUGAGAAUGUUAGCUUCUCUCUCACAGCUUCUGCUUCUUUUCCAAACACUUUAUUAACUUAUUUACUUCUCACUUCUACUCCACUUCUUUACUAUAAGCAAGAAGUCACUUCUUUUAAGCUAACUUAAACGGCCCCAAUGUAACUAAAGAAAAUAAUGGAAUCUUGAUUAACCAAGUAUCUGUCCAAAUAGUCUAAAGUGGAGAAACAAAUUCAUUUUAGAAUGAGACUUUAAUCAUCAACAAAUAGAAUUAAAAUUCUUCAAAUUAAACAAAAACAAAAUACAUUCAAAUUGAACAUAAACAAAUUACAAAUUUUAUGAUAUUGUAAUGUGAUGCACGAGUGCCGAGAAUCUUCCAGGGCGUUUCUAAGACUUCUAGUUGGUUUGGAUCAAGAUACGUUCUAGUUGGACUGGAAUGCUCCUCAGCUCUCCACACCGAAUUGUUCUAAAACUUUCGAGGCAAGGGAGUGCUCUGUCCUCGACUUGCAAUUCUUUUAGAUCGGUGAAAUAUCGUAGUCUUAAACUUUGAAGACUUGGAAACGCAUUUUUACUGCAAACCAUUUUGUUCCCCUCAUACACUACAUACAAAUCAAGAGUCGUAAGAUUCCGUAAAUUUCCCAAGCUGGGCAUUGGAUCUUCAGUGAACCUACUAUGAGACAGAUUUAAAUCCUCGACUGAAUUUGGCAGAAAACGGAAUUCUGAUAGUUCUAUAACACCCCUUAAAGUUAUGCUCUUGAGACGAUUCAAAACCGAAAACGGUUUCAAUGUUGAAAUAACGACAUCAUGACCACACUCAAAUAUGAACGUUUGGAGAUUUGUUAAAUUAGCAAUGGAUUCAAAAGUGCGACCUCCUCCUCCCUCUCUAUCUCUUAUAUAUAAUGUACAGAGGUUAGUGAAAUUGACGGUAUCAAUCUUGACCCAUUCCCUGAAAUCUAUACCAGAAAAAGAAUGGAGCUUUGUUUGAUGGCUACCUAUAUUCAACCUCUCGCUAAUUUCAAUGAAUAAAUCGUACAAAUGCCUCAGCUCAGGCAGCUCCCACAUCUCUUUGGGAACUGUGUAGUAACAAUCAUGGUGCCCACCCCAUAAAGAUCGUAACUUUUUCAGCUUGCCUAUACUUGCUGGCACUGCUAUUGUUCUCCUGACGGUACCCAUUAAGCCUAAAAACUUUAAAAGAACCAGUUCCCCUAAUUCUUCUGGUACACUCUUUGAUGCUACACACGACAUAUCUAGCACUGUGAGAUUUUUAAAUCCAGUGUACAUCAACUUUAUUUCUUUUAAUUCCACUUUAAAUCUAUAACCUGCCAACAUUAGGGAAUGCAAAUAUAAAGCAUCAAAUCUACGCUGCUCAAGUAAUUUAAGGUACUCACCAAUUUCAUCGUAAAUAGCAUGACGCCGUUGUCCUUCCAAUAAAUGGAUGAGAUUUGGCUGGUGUUUACUUGAAUCAAAAAUAACCAACAAAUUCUGCUCCUUUGCUUUUUUUAUGGCAAGUUCACGCACAAGAUCAUGGACCCGGCAUGUGACAAUUUUCCCAUUCAAUUGCCAAUACUCAAUCUGAAUCAAGUUGCGAUUAAUUAGCUCGUUCAGACAAUCCUCGGCCAAAUCCUCCAUGAGUACUCCAUCUCCUUCUUCAUCUUCUGAUAUGAAUUCCUCUGCAAUCCAUAAGUGCUUCAAAGGUUCGACGAAAAUGAUUUUAUCUUCUGGAUAUCUUGCAAGGUAGAGAAAACAAUCUCUCAAUUGGGGAGACAAGUCUUUAUAACUCAAGCUUAGUAUUUCUACAAUAUCCACAGAGUCAUCUGUCAAGUUUCUCCAGAUAAGCUCCUUCACCUUUGACCAAUAGUCGUAGCUCUUGUUGUGGAAUAAAAGGCCACCCAGUAUCACAAUUGCAAGUGGUAAACCUCCACAUUUACCAACCAUCUCCCUUCCCAAGUUCUCCAAAUUCUGGUUUGGUUCUGCUAUCUUGCAGAACAAUUCCCAGCUUUCCUCUUCCCUCAAAAGACGAAGUGGAUAGGCUAAACCAUUCUUGAUAUCCACAGUCUCUGCGACUUUCUUGUUUCUUGUGGUAAUGAUGAUCCUACUACCGUUGUCCUGGUUUGGAAAUGCGAUCUUGAUCUGGUUCCAAGCGUUUAUAUCCCAUAUAUCAUCAAUAAGUACCAAAUAGCAACCUUCAUUCUGGAGUAACUGUGGUAGGUAUUGUAGCAAGUCACGCUCAUCCAUGUUUGACAUAUAUUGUUCGUGCUCAGGUCCUUUGAAAGACUUUAUUAUCCUCUUAAGGACAUCUUUGAUAGUAUAUUCGUUGGAGACACACACUUUAGCACGGGUGCCAACAUGUCUCAACUCGUUAGAGUUGUACAACUUGGUGGCAAGUGAAGUCUUGCCCAACCCCCCCAUUUCGUGAAUGGAAAUGAUUUUAAGGGGCGGAUCCUCGUUAUUAAGUUCUGUCAUCAACUUGUCAACAUCCUCCCUAAAGCCAACUACAUCCACCUUGUUAUCAAUGGCGCUUGCUCUUAUCAAGGUUCUCUCUUUUUGUUUCACGUCUGGGCCGGCUAAAAUAUUGUCGAUCCCAUACUCGAGUCUCCUCUCCUUGAUGACACCGAUCCUUUUCUUGAGUGACUCGAUAUCAUUGCCAAUGUCAUAAAGCUGAGCUUCUUUCUUGCAGAUGCAAAUACAGUUGAGAAAUGUAUGCAUAUGACCUUGACCUUGUUCCAGACUGGCUUGUCCAUCCUGAAACCUCCUCAGGAUAUCCACAGCAUCAUUGGCAACAUCUCUGACAGUGCUUAGCCAUAGACGGAUUUCAUCUUCUUGCCUUGAUUCUACACGUUUUACAGAAGCCUGGAGGAAGCCCAGUUCUUCUUUGAGCCACCUUAUAUCAUCUCUAACCCCUAUUCGUAUGUUAACCUGGUGCACAAGAAAAUCACCAAGCUUUUCAACUGCAAAAGAUAUCACAGCAUCAGCCAUACUUUCUUACGAAGUAAAAAUGAAAGGAAGUCUGGGAAAUACAGGCAAAAGAGUUCAGAUUUUCAUGUCAGUCUCCAAAGUAUACUUUAUAUGUAAACCGGGUUGAGUAAGUUGUCAAGUGGUGCGUUUGUUUUUACUGGAUUCGGCCAAGGGUUAAACCGGAAAUCUGCACGAAGAAUCAAGCAUGAAUAAUGUCUUUUCUUUUUUGUUUUUUUUUAGCAAUGAUUAAGCUUGCUUUGCUACUUUUUUGUUCGUAGUGGGAGAGAAUAUGAGACCUUUGUUUUCUUUUGCUUUUGUAGAUGCCCCGAAUAAUUAAAGGGAAAAGUUUUAGUAUAAUUGUGGGUUUUAUGAGUUAUCCCUGUCAAAUACAGGCGAAGAGUUCCGACUUUCAUGUCAGUCUCCAAGUAUACUUUAUAUUAAAAAAUACCAAAAAUAAAUAUUUAAUACUUUAUAUUAAAUAACUGUAGAAAUUUAUUACAGUAAAGUCUUCACAAUAUCUGUUUUCUUACUGAAUUUUCUUUAAUUCAUACUUUACAUAUUUUCUAUUGAUAUAUUUAUUUUGACCAUUCAAUAAAUCAUUUAAUACUCAUAUUUAUUGUAAAAUGCGGGAAUUGGAUUUAAUCGGUGAAGUCACGGAACAAGGAAUAAUCGGAGAGUAAUUGGAUUGUAUUGAAUGAUUAAUUGUAUAAUCAUUAUUUAAUCAGUUUGAUGAGUUUCAAAACAUGGAUUAAUCGAGAUUAAUCACGAAUUGAAUGCUAUAGUAUUUUAAAAAAUUAUAUAUUUCCUAUAAUUUUGAAAUAUUUUCCUCUUAAACUAACGAAUUUUAAUUGAUUGUAACAAAUUGUUUUUGUAUAAUUUUAUGAAUCUGAAAAAUGUAUGUCAUUUAGUUAUAUAUAUAAUUUAAGAAUUUAUUAUAACUUAUUUAUAUAAAUAUGAUAUUUGUAAUUUGUUUAUAUCUAUUAUUUAUAUACUAAUAGUAAUAUGUAUUGAUCGAUCAUCAAUACAUUUAAAUUGUUAUGACGGCUGGUUAAUUUUUUGAGAAGAACAUAUAUGAAAUUGUCUAUAUAUCAUAAAUAAAUAAGUUCUAAAAAGUCAAGAAUAUGUUGUUCAUUAUCUUUCAGAAACACCAAUUUUUUUUCAUUCUUUUAUUUAAAUUAUAUAAAUAUCUUUGUAUAAUUUUUAGAUAUUUCCAUUCUCUUAUAUGGUAAAUAUGUUACUCCCCCGUCCCACCAAGUUGUUUACAUUGGGUUUGGACAAGGAGGUUAAGAAAUACGUAUAAAGUAGUGGAAAAAUGAGAGAAAAGUGAGUGGGGUGGUGGGACCCAUUGAUUUUUAAUAUAUGAAAAGGAGACUGGAGUAAAGCAGUGUGAAAGGAGAAGAAAAGUGGAAAAAUGACGGGAUUCGUUAACUAUUUUAGAAAAGUUUUGUAAUAUAAAAAAAUGAGUGGGACAUCCAAGAAAAGAAACCGUAAAGAAUCUGGUGGGACAGAGAGAGUAAUUAUUAAUGGAAACUUGGUCCUACUUGUUCCAUUAUUGAAAUGUGAAAGGAAUAAAGAUGAUGAAUUGAGUAUUUUCUUUCACAGGAGAUGCACAUGGGAGAUGUCCGGAGUAUGAUAAGAUGCACAUAGCGACGAAGUGACUGAUGAGUGAUCACGGGAAAGAACACGAAAAUACAAACGACUGGAUGAGAUAUUUUUGACGAGAUUUUGCCGUGCUCCUUUAUUAAAAUCGAAAUUUAUGGGGGAUUUUUGGUUUUAUUUUAAUAAUUAUUUAUUAUUAAUGUGUGAAAGUGAUUUUAAAUUUCUAUUUUUAUUUAAAAAUUAUUUACAGCUUAUUAGAAAUAAAAAUUAUUAAUAUAUUAAUAAAAUAUUAUAAAUCAUCUUUUGAUCUCAUUUAUUAAGCUUAGUAUUAUAAAAUAUUAAGCUUGCUUUGCUACUUUUUUAUUCGUAGUGGGAGAGAAUACGAGACCUUUGUUUUCUUUUGCUUUUGUAGAUGCCCCAAAUAAUUAAAGGGAAAGUUACAGUAUAAUUGUGGAUUUUAUGAGUUAUCCAUGGGAGUGAGAAGUAAAUAAGUUCAUAAAGUGUUUGGAAAAAAAAAAAAGAAACGGUGUGAGAGAGAAGCUAGCAUUCUCAGCUUCUUAAAAGUGCUUCCACUUCUUUACACAAAGAGUCAAGAGAAGCAGAAGUAAGAAGCAGCUUCUUAAAAGUGCUUCCACUUCUUUACACAGACCCUCCAUAAAUUUUAAAGGAACAAAGAGAAGAAGGCUCAAAAUUUUGUACUGUAACCCAUCUAAUCUGGUCCCAAAGAAAAGAGAAACUGAGCCGUGAGAAACAGACACAUUUUUAUCAGCCUUAAAGCAACAUCUCUUCUGAACAGGAUUGCAGAAAUGGCAAAGGUAAUGUAAAAGUUAGAGUUUUGAUAUCACCAAAACUCACGAGGACCCCAAAUGACAUUUUCUAGAAAGCAAUGACUUCCCAAGAAUCUUAACGAAACUCCGCAGAACCACGAUUUGGGUAGAAAGUUUGCCUGUCAUUUCUACAAGCAACUAAAUAUGACAGGAUCACACUCGACAUUAAGAGCGUUAAAUUAUAAAAAUCUUGGAAAAAUAAAAUCAAAACCUCUGACUUCUUUUGUCUAUAAGGACCUGCCUCACUAAAGCAGCACAUCUGUCAUAAUAAUCUGAAAAUAUGCUCAACUGCAAUUGAAAAGAAUUGUCCAAAUAUUGUAAUUAGGCUUCAGAAAGCCCCAUGUAUCGAGUACUUUCUGGGAAGCUUAGUUCGUUUAGUGUUAUACUGCAAUGUGAGUAUCUGCAAUGUUGAAUCUGUGUGUCGUAUUCCCUCUACUGAACACUAACUGAACCAUAUGAUAGUUCAUGUUUGUAUCUUGUUCAAAGUUGAUUAUCAAUUUGUAUGAUUCAACUUACUUUUUGCUUCUUUUUUAUAGUAAUCGUAUGAUUCUUUUUCCAUUAACUUGUGUAUCAUGUGCCGAAAGCAGGACGAAUGAAGUCCAAAGCUCCCGAAUCAUAAUCAUUGAGGGAAUGAAUCUGUUGCUGAGUGAAAUUCGCGUUAAAUACUGGAUAUUCAGAGUAUCUGUCACAGCCUUGAUGGUGGAUUUAUUUGGAUUUAAGAAAGUUUUAGUGACAUUCAAUGAGCAGGGCAAGCAUCUGUGAAAUUAUCCUCCUUAUAUCUGCAAUUGCUUUUCAAGGACCUCUCUAUAAUCGUCUCCGUCUCCGGGCGCUUUAUCAAGAAGGUAUAUGAGUUUAUUAAGCUAAGUGACAAUUAUCUAAGGUUCUUGUAUAAACCAGUUCAAAAAAAGUUGCAGCUUAGAAGAAUAUAUUGUUCCUUGAACAGAACUAAACCAAGCUGCAACAAUAAUAACAGCUUGCAAUUCUAUUUAUUCACCUCAUAGAGUUACACAGUGGUCAUUAUUACGAAACAUUUCAAUUCAUCUAACAAAUCUGAGAAAUUGUAAUGAAGCUAAACAAUCUUUUAAAGGGCAAAAAAAGACCAAAUCUUAAAGGAAACCUUCUAGAGCGGAAAAACAUCUACUAUACACUAUAAGAUAUUAUUAAUUUUAUCUUGAAUCAUCUUAGUAACAGGCUUCGACGCCCUACAAGAAAGUCACAAACCAUGUUUCCCUGGCCCUUUAACGUGGCAGUCGAAAAGGAUUUGUCCCUUGAGGCUUUAAUGUAAGGUUCAAAAUAUUAAUCCUGUUAGGUGAUCUACUUCCUUAAGGAUUUAAGUUCAAAUCUUAACAUUUAUGCUGUCACUCUUAAGCAGAAGCAAAUCUGCACAACAUUUAAGACAUCUGCAAAAGUAUUACUAGGCAUUUGUAGAGAUUAAUGGCAUUAUUUUCCACGAUCUUGCAAUAUUACAUAAGAGCAAGUCCAAUAGGUUACCUAAACUUGCUCCUAAACUCACAUUUAGGUAAUGAACUAAAAAAAUGCACUCCAACACUCUCCUAGUGGUUACUUAAAUCACCAGCACAACCUCAAAUCUCCUAGCCAUUACCUAUUUAUAAGUAAUCACUAGCCAUUACCUAUUUAAUAUUUAUGAAUAAAAUAAUCAAUCUCUCUCCUUCUUUCUUUGUCUUUUUCCUCUCUUCUCCUUUCUCUCUCUCAAAUUUAUUACUAAAAUAAUCUUAGGAGAACAAAUAUAAGGAUUGCUAUUGGAGUUGACACUAAAAAUAGAUUACAUAAAUCACUAAGACUCGCUAGGAUUCAUUAUUUUAUAUUAUUAAUAGGUAAUGAGAUAAGUAACCUAUUGGACUUGCUCUAACUAGUAAAAAAGAACUUUAGCUACAACCAGAGAAGUGCCAUUUUCAAUUUUUUAUUGUCUAAUAGUAACUCUGUUUUUUAUGGAGGAAACAUCACAUACAAUGUUAAAGCUAGUUUCUGUAAAGUAAUCUAAGGAUCGCAAGAUCAUAACACAACUGAAUCCGCAAGGCUGAAAGUUCCAGGUUUACAUCAAUAUUAUUGCAGAAGACCAACUGCCCUAUAAGCUGUUAUUCAUAAUAUGGAUCCAAAGAUGGGUUAGUUUGAAGCCUUCCAUAAUUCAUAAUAUCAUCACUCACCCGAAAACACCAAAAAUUUACUCAACUCGUGUGAACUUCUAGGCAUGGCUAGUAAAAAGAGCUCAAAUCACAAUUUUUAUGUCAUAUGUCUGUUUAUAUAACAUACAUAAAGAUGAAGAACUUAGAAGCCUUUGGGGAGUGGUAGCAGAACGCCAGAACAUGAACUUAAAAUGUUACAAGUGUUUGGUAAAAAAAAAAAAACUCAAAAUCUCUAACGGUAAAUAUUACUCCUUCCCACUCAUUUUGUCUAACUUAGAAAUACACCGUAUAUUCACUAACAUUAAAUUAGCCGAUAAUUAUUAAAAAAAUUAUAUUGCUUUUCAUAUAUAUUAACUUAGUUUAUAUUGAAUUUGCCAUAUUUACUAAACAUGAUAAUUUUGGAUCACGUACAGUAGAAAAUGAGGGAUUCAAACAAACAAUAAAAAAAAAAAAUCAGUUAGAGCAUCUCCAACCCUCACAAGCCCUUAGGUAAAAGUCCACGUGGCUUUUCAAAAUUAAAUUUUAUAGCCAAUGUUCACAAAAACUGGAACUCCAGCCCCAGCAACCCCUUGUGUAUAAUUAUAGUCAUCCCACUAUGGAUGGCUAUAUUUGUCGAUCCGCUACCAAUCGGUAGCGAAUUCCACGUCAUCUCCAGCAAUUUAUUUUUCUACUUUCCACUGAUUACAUAUUAUUUAUUACCAUAUUAAACUGAAAUAUUCUAUUUAUUAUAAUCUAAAUAUUAAUAACAUGCUAUUUUUAAAUUAUAACCAACCAAUAUAGUCAAUACCAUUGAAGCACAAUGUCUUACCGGUUCGGCAAAUUUUACAUAAUGUCUUAAAGAUCCAAUUUAGCCAACGAUUGUAACCAACGUCAUUAGAGAUACUCUUAACAUUAGUAAUUAUUUAUUUAUUUACAUUAGUGUAAAUAUCAAAUACAUACAAUCAAACAUUCAUUCAAUAAAAAAUAAAGUUAUCAUUUUGAAUAAUAAAUUUAAAUAAAAUACAGAAAUGUCUAAAAUUUCAAUAUUAAAUUAUGUGAUUGUUAACUAAAAAAAAAAUAAUAGAAUCUAGAUUAAUGAAAUAUCUGUCCAGAUAGUCUAAGUGGAGAAACGGAUUUAUUGUAGAAAGGAAACAUUACUCAUCAUAAAAUAGAAUUAAAAUUCUUCAAAUUAAACAAAAACAAAAUACAUUCAAAUUGAACAGAAACAAAUUACAAAUUUUAUGAUAAUAUGAUGUGAUGCACGAGUGCCGAGAAUCUUCCAGGUUGUUUCCAAGACUUCUAGUUGGUUUGGAUCAAGAUACGUUCUAGUUGGACGGGAAUGUUCUUCAGCUCUUCACACUUCUUUAUUCUGAAACUUUUGAGGCAUGGGAGUGCUCCAUCCUCGACUUGCAAUUCUUUCAGAUUAGUGAAUUUUUGUAGUCUUAAGACUUGAAGACUUGGAAACGAAUUUUUACUGCAAACCAUUAUAUCCCCUCCGUACACUUGAUGCAAAUCAAGAGUCGUAAGAUUCCGUAAAUUUCCCAGGCUGGGCAUUGGAUCUUCAGUGAACCCACUCUCAGAUAGAGCUAAAUCCUCGACUGAAUCCGGAAGAAAACAGAAUUCUGAUAGUUCUAUAACACCUUUUAAAGUUAUGCUCUUGAGACGAUUCAAAACCAAAAACGGUUUCAAUGUUGAAAUAACGACAUCAUUAUACCUUUUAAAUAUGAACGUUUGGAGAUUUGUUAAAUUAGCAAUGGAUUCAAAAGUGCCACCUCCUCCUCCCACUCUAUCUCUUAUAUAUAAUGUACGGAGGUUAGUUAAAUUGACGGUAUCAAUCUUGACCCAUUCCUCGAAAAUUAUACCAUAAAAAGAAUGGAGUUUUGUUUGAUGGCUACCUAUAUUCAACCUCCCGCUAAUUUUAAUCAAUAUAAGAUACAGGUGCCUCAGCUCAGGCAGCUCCCAUAUCUCUCUGGGAACUGUGUGGGAACAACCAAGGGGCCCACCCCAUAAACUUUGUACUCCCUCUGUCCCAGUCAAUUGUAUACGUUUCUUUUUCACUGCUCGACACGCUUUUUAAGGCUCUUAUAAAACAUAAUUCCACAACUUAUUUUUAAGAUUUUCUUUUUUUGUAUAAAAAUAUAAAUGUUAUACUUUUAUACAAAAAAAGAAAAUCUUAAAAAUAAUUUACAGAACUAUACUAUAUUGAUGCUUUAAAGUCCGUGCCGCGCCCCCGUCCCCCAAUGUAUACUAUUGACUGGGACGGAGGGAGUAACUUUUUCAGCUUGCCUAUAGUUGCCGGCACUGCUACUGUUUUCCUGACGCUACCCAUUAAGCCUAAAAACUUUAAAAGAACCAGUUCCCCUAAUCCUUCUGGUACCCUCUCUGAUUCUACCCUCGACAUAUCAAGCACCGUAAGAUUUUUAAAUCUGGUGUAUAUCAACUUCAUUUCUUUUAAUUCCACUUUAACUUUAUAACCUUCCACCACUAAGGAAUGCAAAUAUAAAGCAUCAAAUCUACGUUGCUCAAGUAAUUUCAAGUACUCACCAAUUUCAUCGUAGAUAGCAUGACGCCGUUGUCCUUCCAAUAAAUGGGUGAGAUUUGGUUGGUGUUUACUUGAAUCUGAAAUAACCAAAUUCUUCUGCUCCUUUGCUUUUCUUAUGGCAAGUUCACGGACAAGAUCAUGGACCUGGCAUGCCAAAACUUUCCCAUUCAAUUGCGAAUAAUUAAUCUGAAUUAAGUUGCGAUUAAUCAGCUCGUUCAGACAAUCCUCGGCCAAAUCCUCCAUGAGUACUCCAUCUCCUUCUUCAUCUUCUGAUAUGAAUUCCUCUGCAAUCCAUAAAUGCUUCAAACGUUCGACAUCAAUAAUUUCGUCUUCUGGGAAUCGUGCAAGGUACAGAAAACAAUCUCUCAUUUGGUGAGACAAGUCUUUAUAACUCAAGCUGAGUAUUUCUACAAUAUCCACCGAGUCAUCCCUCAAGUUUCUCCAGAUAUGCUCCUUCACCUUUAACCAAUAGUCUUUGCUCUUGUUGUGCAAU